GUCACAGAUGAGUAAUAAACGAGUUACUGUACAGCGAUGAGCUGAUAACAACUGCCUGAAUAGCACAGUAUUACUGUAGUAUAGUGUUUACAUUCUCUUAGGAAUACUACAGUAACGUUACUACUAUGGUACGUGUCAGAAACCCGUGCGCUGCAGAGAAAGAUGAACAACAGAAGCCAGAAACACCAACCUGUAUCGCCUGACGACACCGCGUCACUCCUGAGCGGUGUCAGGAUGGUGUGUGAGCUGCUGCUGUCCUCGCUCUGGUUCCUGUUCCUCAUCUUCUGGCUGGAGAGCAUCAGUGUUUGGCUCUUUCUGUGUCUGUACUAUCAGGACAGGGUUUUCUAUCACUGGGCUUCAGGUGAGUUUGCAGAUGAUCCGGAUCAGUUCCUCUAUGUGUUGAGCAGAAUCGAUCUGUCUGCGCACAUGCAGACAUGAGGAAGUGAUGUCAUCACGCCAGGGUCAGAGGUCAGCGGGUCCUCGUGACCUCCAGAGACUGUGAUGGACGGUUUCUGCAGACAGAUAGAGCGGCGAGAUUCAGCGCACAAGCAGCAGGAACACAUGAAACCUCUUUAAAACUGUUACCUGCGUGAACACUGACGGAGUUUAACCAGUUCAUGUUUUUUAACUAGCUGGAAUUUCAUUUGAGAAAAUAUUAACAGCUCCAGAUUAACUUUGAUCGAAUUAUUGUGUGUUCUAUUUUUAUACCAAUUUCUCUUUUUUUUUUACCUAAUAAUAAAAAUAAAGCAGCUUUAAACAGUUUCUCUGAGGUUUCGUUUCUACACUAAACAGAAACAAGAAAAAUCUGCUU
rnacentral:lncRNA from 1 species